GUGUGUGUGUGUGUGUGUGUGUGUGUGUGUGUGUGUGUGUGUGUGUGUGUGUGUUACCCCCACACACACUCUUGUGGCAGACUAAACAAUCCGAGCAGGGGCACACACAUUGAAGUGAUUCUGCCAGACACAUGAUGCAAUUGCAGAGCAAUGCGCUCUCAGACCACCACCGGACGAGAGACCUAGAGAGAGAGAGAGAAUGAGAGAGAGGGAGAUGAAGGAGAAGAAAGAGGUGAACGGGAGGAGGUCUGAACCAAGAUGACGUCGGCACACUCUGAUCACCACUACAAAAUGUGGUGUGUGUUUAGCACGUGUGCAUGUGCGUGUUUAGGAACCCUUUGUAGUUCUGCUUGGAGGAUAGAGACACCUGGUGGCCUUCUGUGUCUCUACAGUUACAUCACUGACAUUCCUGUGUCCUGAUUGGCCAGUGUAUAUACUGCAAAGACUUUUUCCACAAAUCACAAUGGACUUCAACUGUGAACCGCUGAUGACUUCAGAUUAAAAAUAAAAAUUGUAAAACAAGA